AUUGAACGCUGGCGGCAUGCUUUACACAUGCAAGUCGGACGGCAGCACAGUGAAGCUUGCUUCUUGGGUGGCGAGUGGCGCGCGGGUGAGUAACAUAUCGGAACGUACCGAGCUUUGGGGGAUAACUAGUCGGAAGAUUAACUAAUACCCCAUAUCUUCUGAGGAAGAAAGCAGAGGACCAUUUGGCCUUGCGCUGUUUGAGCGGCCGAUAUCUGAUUAGCUAGUUGGUGGGGUAAAGGCCUACCAAGGCGACGAUCAGUAGCGGGUCUGAGAGGAUGAUCAGCCACACUGGAACUGAGACACGGCCCAGACUCCUACGGGAGGCAGCAGUGGGGAAUUUUGGACAAUGGGCGCAAGCCUGAUCCAGCCAUGCCGCGUGUCUGAAGAAGGCCUUCGGGUUGUAAAGGACUUUUGUCAGGGAAGAAAAGGGCGGGGUUAAUACCCCUGUCUGAUGACGGUACCUGAAGAAUAAGCACCGGCUAACUACGUG
rnacentral:rRNA from 1 species